UAUAUUUAACAUAGCACCUGACACUUAGCAAAUUCUCAAAACCACAGGCUUUUAAAAAUUAUUAUUAUUUAUAUUUAAGGUUAACUGACAACCUGAGAUAGCCAAACUACACCCCAGGAGCCAAAUCCAGCCUGCCACCUGUUUUUGGAUAACCUGAUGCGACUCUGAUGACUGGCAUUCCAGCAGCCAUUUUGGACCAUGAAGUGAUCCAUGGUGGAGAAGAAAGACAGAAGGAAGUAGGAUCCCUGAUGAUCUUCUGGAACCACCCUAUCUCUAAUCUGAUCAGGCUGGAGGUCGACCCUGAGCUCCUGUGGUGGGAGCUCUGAGUCCAAACCACUGGACUAACAGACAAUCUCAGACCCCAGAGAAUAUCAAUCGUAGUGAGGCCUCCCACAGGUCCUCCUCUCAGCACCAAGACCCAGCUCUAUCCAACUGCCUGCAAACUCCAGUGCUGGACGUCUCAGGCCAAACAACCAGUAAGACAGGAAUACAGCACCACCCAUCAAAAAAAAAAGAAAAAGAAACGACAAAAAAAAUAUGUUACAGAUGAAGGAGCAAGGUAAAAACCUGCAAGACCAAAUAAAUGAAGAUGAAAUAGACAACCUACCUGAAAAAGAAUUCAGAGUGAUGAUAGUAAAGAUGAUCCAAUAUCUCAGAAACAGAAUGGAGAGAAUACAAGAAACAUUUAACAAGGAUCUAGAAGAACUAAAGAGCAAACAAACAGUGAUGAACAACACAAUUAUUGACAUUAAAAAUACUCUAGAAGGAAUCAAUAACAGAAUAACUGAGCAAGAAGAAUGGAUAAGAGAGCUGGAAAAUAAAAUGGUGGAAAUAACUGCCCGGGAGCAGAACAAAGAAAAAAGAAUGAAAGGAAUUGAGGACAGUCUCAGAGACCUCUGGGACAACAUUAAAUGCACCAACAUUUGAAAUUAUAGGGGUCCCAGAAGAAGAAGAGAAAAAGAAAGGGUCUGAGAAAAUAUUUGAAGAGAUUAUAGUCAAAAACUUCCCUAAUAUGGGAAAGGAAAUAGUCAAUCAAGUUCAGGAAGCACAGAGAGUACCAUACAGGAUAAACCCAAAGAGAAACACGCCAAGACACAUAUUAAUCAAACUAUCAAAAAUUAAAUACAAAGAAAAAAUAUUAAAAGCAGCAAGGGAAAAGCAACAAAUAACAUACAAGGGAAUCCCCAUAAGGUUAACAGCUGAUCUUUCAGCAGAAACUCUGCAAGUCAGAAGGGAGUGACAGGACAUAUUUAAAGUGAUGAAAGGGAAAAACCUACAACCAAGAUUACUCUACCCAACAAGGAUCUCAUUCAGAUUCG